rnacentral:rRNA from 1 species
CGGAGGCGUACAAAGGUUAGCUUGUUACGGAUGGAAACCGUAAUGGACGUGUAUUCGCACACGCUAGCUUAACUGUGAGACUGACACGUCGAUCAGACACGAAAGUGGGUGAAAGUGAUCCGGAUUUUCCAAGUGGAAGGGAAUCCGCUCAACGGAUAAAAGCUACUCCGGGGAUAACAGGCUUAUGGAGUCCAAGAGUCCAUAUCGACGACUCCGUUUGGCACCUCGAUGUCGGCUCGUCGCAUCCUGGGGCUGGAGAAGGUCCCAAGGGUUGGGCUGUUCGCCCAUUAAAGCGGGACGCGAGCUGGGUUCAGAACGUCGUGAGACAGUUCGGCCCCUAUCUGCCGUAUCCGUAAGCAAUUUGAGAAGAUCUGUUUCUAGUACGAGAGGACCGAAAUGGACUGGCCUCUGGUGUUCCAGUUGUUCUGCCAAGAGCAUUGCUGGGUAGCCACGCCGGGCAAGGAUAACCACUGAAAGCAUAUAAGUGG